GUAUCCAAGGCAAGUUUUCCACUUUGCAAUCAUCUUGGGGUUCCUUCUUUUCUCGCUCGUACCUAGACUAUAGGCUCCCCGCAUAUGAAAUGGUGGUCGCCCCUGUUUGCUAUUGCAACAAAUGGUUUUGCUUUGCAUAUCAUAUCCCCACCAAAACUGUCCACUUGUUUCACCUGAUGUUCCCAACAUACAUUGAGCACCCAGACCUUGCAUCCCGCAGCGGGCAUGCCUACAAAUUGCUCCAGGGUCUUUCUAUUUCAUUUGGUGGGUGCUACGAUAGAAUAAUUAUGCUGCUGUGUGAUUGGAACUACGUGCUCACCUCCUGGAAUGGGCCACUUGCUCUGGAGGUUCUAUGUUGCUAUGUUUGCUCUAUUCUUCGACGGUGCGCGUAUUGGCACCGACAUGUAUGAACAGGUUAUGAAUUACCGUUUCAAGUGUACCCUCUGCCGGCUGCUGCUUGAUCGCCCCUAGAAUCCUGACUGGCGUCAAACCGUAAGGGGCGUUAUCCCCUAAUGGAAUAGUGUUGAAUGCACCAGUUGUUUCAUGGCUCGCCAGCACAGCCUGUUCUAGACUCACCGAGCCCGUGUAUCAUCUUGUGUUUACGGAGCGGUAGCAUCUUUUGGAGUUGCAUCUCGUGUAAGCUACUACUUAUUAAUCCUGUGUAAUAGCCUGUAACCACUAUGUGGUCCUAAGGGUCUUGAUGUACCCAGCUUUGGUACUUGGCAUGUAUGUUUCCCAUCCUUUAUUUUUCCUUGUGUAUGGAACCCAGCAACCGCAAUUCCUAAGCUCCUUAGUUGCCAAUUCACAUUUCAGAG